rnacentral:rRNA from 1 species
GAUAACCGUAGUAAUUCUAGAGCUAAUACAUGCUGUAAGCCUGACUUUAGGGAAAGGUUGUAUUUAUUAGAUCCCAAACCAAUAGUUUCGACUAUUGUGACGACUCAUAAUAACUGAUCGGAUCGCAUGGCCUUGUGCCGCGAUAAACCAUUCAAGUUUCUGACCCAUCAGCUUUCGAUGGUAGUGUAUUGGACUACCAUGGCUUUCACGGGUAACGGAGGAUUAGGGUUCGAUUCCGGAGAGGGAGCCUGAGAAACGGCUACCACAUCUAAGGAAGGCAGCAGGCGCGUAAAUUACCCAAUCCUGAUUCAGGGAGGUAGUGACAAGAAAUAACGGGUCGGGGCAUCUGCCUCGGGAUUGCAAUGAAUCGAAUUUACACCCCUUAAUGAGGACCAAUUGGAGGGCAAGUCUGGUGCCAGCAGCCGCGGUAAUUCCAGCUCCAAUAGCGUAUAUUAAAGUUGUUGCAGUUAAAAAGCUCGUAGUUUGAUUUCUGGACGGGCGCCAACACCCGCUUGUUAGUGUGGAGGCGGCACCCGCCCAUCCUUCUGUUAACGCCGCCGGCAUUUGUUUGCUGGUGGCGGGCUCAGAUAUUUUACCUUGAGAAAAUUAGAGUGUUUCANGCAGGCUUGCGCCUAGAUACAUUAGCAUGGAAUAAUAGAAUAGGACCUUGACCUCUUCUGUUGGUCUGAGGGUGAGAGNAAUGAUUAAUAGGGAUAGUUGGGGGCAUUAGUACUUAACUGCUAGAGGUGAAAUUCUCAGAUUUGUUAAAGACUANCUUAUGCGAAAGCAUUUGCCAAGGAUGUUUUCNUUAAUCAGAAUGAAAGUUAGGGGAUCAAGACGAUNNAUACCGUCCUANUNCUNAACAUAACUANUGCC